ensembl:lncRNA
GUCUCCUUCCGGUGUUGUGACCCUGAAGCGCAAUAGCGAGGUAUGAGCGUGGUACAUGCUGUAAGAGCUUGUAUAAGGACGUUUUAGUUUUUUUUAUAUGGUUUAUUCUAUGUUAAUUGCAGAGAGAUAACCCCCUGAUGCAAGAGUGUGAGCGCGUGGACGGUGUGUAAUAUUAUGCAAGUCGCGGACGCCGUGUUUCGCCUAUAGCAACGAGCCGUAUCACGCAGGGUUUUUAUUCCACUCCAUUAUGCAGCGUUUCUAGUCCACUUGUGGGAUUACGGCAGAGAUCUUCCUCUGUGGAGUUCUAUGCAUGUGGACAUCUGAUGUCUAGGCCCUGCUGUUUUGUUUGAUUUAUUUUUUAUAUAAGUUUUAAGCUGAUGGUCAUAUGCUGAUGUUUGUUUUGAAGUUAUUUUUUCAUUUGUUAUUAUUGAUUUUGUCAGCUGUGUCCUGUUUGUACCAACCGCUAGGGGUCUAUAUGGUGCGUGGAGAAAAGGGGAGUUUUGAACCCAUUUUUCUGUAUUCUAGGAGCCAGCCUGUGUGGGAGCACUUUCCUCUGGGGUCAUCUGGGUCCUUCCUCUACUGCAUGUGGCGUGAGGUUAUUCUGCACUGCAUGGAUUGCGCUGGACUAAGGUAUAUUAUACCCACAUGGCAGGGAUGGAUAGACUCAACAGAUAAUCGCAUAUUGCAAGAUAGAGAAGAGAGCCUAGGAUCUUCCGGAUAUUUCUUCUGAUGGUCUUUGGAGAUUGCAUUAAAGUUGCAUUAAAACUCUGACGUCCUCCUUCAUUGCCAUACAAAGUGGGUUGGAACAAAUCUCAUUCUGUAUUUGGAGGAGGAGGAGGAGGAGGAGGAGAAGGAGCAACAAAGGCGAUACCCUCAUGUCCUGCAGUUUUGGGAUAAAAUCCAUCCUUCAUUAUUGUGGGAGAAAUGGCACUGAACAAGACCGUCUUUUUACAAGCAGUUGAUACAUGGUUUAGAUUAUUUUACAUUUUGAACAUUGAGUAUCCCAGGC